rnacentral:rRNA from 1 species
AUGGCAAUCAUGUCAUUCUUCCGAGGAAGAGGUCUAUCUUCAUUGCCUUACACCCCAAAACAGAUUAGCAACAUGGGUACAAAAAUGAGAAGAGAAAAUGGUCUGAAUGAUAUGAUGCAAGUAGUAUCAUUUUUUGAACAGAAAAAGUCAGAAGAUCCACUAUUCUUCUACUCAUUCAAAACGGAUCCAAAAAAGAAUGUGAUGCAUAUAUUUUGGGCAGAUGGGAGUGGAAUAAGGAACUAUCAGCAGUAUGGCGAUCUUCUCAGUUUUGGCACAACCUACAAGACUAACAAAUACAAUCUGAAUUUUUCUCCAUUUGUGGGAGUAAACGGGCAUGGAGACAACUGCCUUUUUGCAUGUGGUUUCAUUCAAGAUGAGAAGAAAGAAACAUUCGAGUGGCUCUUUAAGACAUUUCUGAAAUGCAUGGGAGGGAAAGCUCCUAAAUCUGUCAUAACGGAUCAAGACGCAACUAUGAAGAAAGCAGUACCUAAAUGCUUUCCAAAUUGCAAGCAUAGGAACUGUUUGUUCCACAUUCUCACGAAAGCUCAAAACAAAGCUAGGAGGACAUUUGGAAAGAACCAACACUUGAAUGCUCAAUUUCAUGACAUAAUCCUAAACUCCCAGACAAUGCAAGAAUUUGAGGAAUUAUGGCCACAAAUGAUUCAACAGCACAAUGUUUAG